GACGAACGCUGGCGGCGUGCCUAAUACAUGCAAGUAGAACGCUGAAGCUUGGUGCUUGCACCGAGCGGAUGAGUUGCGAACGGGUGAGUAACGCGUAGGUAACCUGCCUGGUAGCGGGGGAUAACUAUUGGAAACGAUAGCUAAUACCGCAUAAGAGUAGAUAUCGCAUGAUAUGUGCUUAAAAGGUGCAAUUGCACCACUACCAGAUGGACCUGCGUUGUAUUAGCUAGUUGGUGAGGUAACGGCUCACCAAGGCGACGAUACAUAGCCGACCUGAGAGGGUGAUCGGCCACACUGGGACUGAGACACGGCCCAGACUCCUACGGGAGGCAGCAGUAGGGAAUCUUCGGCAAUGGACGGAAGUCUGACCGAGCAACGCCGCGUGAGUGAAGAAGGUUUUCGGAUCGUAAAGCUCUGUUGUAAGAGAAGAACGAGUGUGAGAGUGGAAAGUUCACACUGUGACGGUAUCUUACCAGAAAGGGACGGCUAACUACGUGCCAGCAGCCGCGGUAAUACGUAGGUCCCGAGCGUUGUCCGGAUUUAUUGGGCGUAAAGCGAGCGCAGGCGGUUAGAUCAGUCUGAAGUUAAAGGCUGUGGCUUAACCAUAGUACGCUUUGGAAACUGUUUAACUUGAGUGCAAGAGGGGAGAGUGGAAUUCCAUGUGUAGCGGUGAAAUGCGUAGAUAUAUGGAGGAACACCGGUGGCGAAAGCGGCUCUCUGGCUUGUAACUGACGCUGAGGCUCGAAAGCGUGGGGAGCAAACAGG
rnacentral:rRNA from 1 species